CUUUUACUCCUAUUUGUUUUUACUUUGGAUUUAUUGCUUUAAAUUAUGAAUGCCCAACAUUGUAGCAUUAAUAUUUUGCAUUUCUAUAGAUUAUAUUUUUUAAUUAAAUUUGGAGGUGUGUGUUUUUCUGUUUAGGAAAAUAGACGAUUACAGUCUCAGCCUUUGUAAAGGCAUUAGAUUUUAGAUAAAUGUAUUCAAGCUUAUUAUCCUGUGUCAGCAAGUUUUGUGAUUUUUAGCCAGCCUGGUCUUCCUUUCAUUAGCUAUUUUACUAAAGUAAGUCAGCCUGAAAAAGAAAUUCACUGAAAUACUUCUAGUUAACUUGUGGUAAGUUGAAAAGACGCACAGGAAGCAGAGGCCCAUCGGAAAGUAUUUCCUUCAGUGGAAGCGACAGAAAUCAUGGUUUGCUUGGGGUGGCAUGUGCCUGCAUGGUGCUGCUGGUGGAGGGCUUGGUGGCAAGAAAUGCUGCAACAAAAUGUACUGCUGGAGGAAGUUGCAAACUCAGAGAGAUGGUAAAUCUCACAAGACGCCAGAUGAGAGACAGCUUGUCAGACUUUGACAAAGUCAAUGGGGAACACCUUGGUACUUGGUUGCCUGGCUUCCCUGAGCUGGAGGUUCACCUAAACUCUACUCUCGACGCAUCAAAAGUCCUGUGUAACCUCACCUUCAUGGUUGAAGGUCUGGAGAAAAUUUUGGAGGAUCAGAAUGAUCUGAAUCCCACAAAUAUCUUACUUCACAAUGUGCUUAGAGAAACAAUUACAUGGGUCAAGAUGCUUAAAGAUUGCAUGAAGCAUUCUUUCAAGGUCGAAUGCCCAAAGAAAAUAUUGCCACCCAAGAUGCCUGAGUAUACUUUUGAGAGAAAACAGUGGAGUCACACUCUGUUGAUGUCGGCCGAGAAAUAUCUAGGUUGGCUGCAGCGUAACAUUACAGAUAGAAAGGCCAGACAGAUUAGCAAAAAGACCCUUCAUGCUAGUAGCACUGGUUCUAAAUACCUAAAAGGCAGUGUACAUCAUUUGUAAUCUCAUCUGAAAAUAGUUUGUUUCGAAUGCUGAUUUGACUAUAAUUAGUGCCUUUAACUUCACCAUUAAUGACUUUCAUUCAUGCACCAUUUCUUUUUUUACUUUUGUAAGACUAUAAUAAUUGAAAGUAGGUUAUAUAAUAAUAAUAAUAAUAAUAAUAAUUUUAAAGUAAAUUGACAACUCUAAUGGUACAAUUGACACAAACUGUUAGCCUUGUGUUCAUCAAACAGCCAAUAUGACUCGCAUAUUUAUCUUUUAAGUGCACAGUUCAGAACCAGUCGGUCAAAUUUAGACAAUAAAUAGGUGCCGUUUAACAUAGCAAUACAGAAAAAAAUAAUACUAAGGAUACGUUUCCAAACUAAGACUUAAAAUUACAAUAAAAGUGGCAAACGUCAAAAUAAAAUGGAAGUGAUUACUUGCUAAAAGGAAUAUUCUCAUACUUCUAAGUAUUGCUGUUAUGCUAACAUUAAGCUAGCUAUACUUCCUGACAUCAUUUCAUCUACAUGGGCCUGUUUACUAAAAUUAAGACAUUGCUAAAUACAAACUAUAUCAGAAAUGGCAUUGUUUUAUUAAAUUUGAUAACCCCCAGGAAAUGACACAUCUUUUUGUGAAUAGAAUUAAUCAACUUGAUGAGAAGGGGUUCUAAUGCACUUCCUAAUUACAGAAGGGUGUUUUCUUAGCCUUCACAGUGAUUAAUUGUUUUUGCUCUGGUCACCCAUCCCUUGUGAGAAGGCCUAACUGCCUGAGGGGAAAAGUUAAUCUGGAAGAAUCACUUUCUGAGGGUUGUUGGUUUAGCCUUUAAUCAACAAACUGAGCAGGAAAAUCUGCAGCCAGAUGGGUAUCUGGGCUUGAAUCAAAGAAAUAAGAAAACAAUACUGUAAAACACAAGAUGAUUAAUUCUGGUCUCAUCCUCAUCACAUCAGGUGAUGAAUUCAUUCUUUGCUAUUUAUUCUUUUGCAUGACUGUGGAAUUUAAGUCAGCUCUCCAGACUUAAAUUUAUUUUAUCAAUGUGCUGAUCCAUAAUCAUGAAUGGUAUAUAUACUUUUUGUUGCAAUAAAAUUGUCAUUUCAA